rnacentral:rRNA from 1 species
UACGUAGGGUGCGAGCGUUGUCCGGAAUUACUGGGCGUAAAGAGCUCGUAGGUGGUUUGUCGCGUUGUUCGUGAAAACCGGGGGCUUAACCCUCGGCGUGCGGGCGAUACGGGCAGACUUGAGUACUGCAGGGGAGACUGGAAUUCCUGGUGUAGCGGUGGAAUGCGCAGAUAUUGGGAGGAACACCGGUGGCGAAGGCGGCUACCUGGACAGUGACUGACGCUGAGGCGCGAAAGCUAGGGGAGCGAACGGG